rnacentral:rRNA from 1 species
UACGUAGGGGGCAAGCGUUGUCCGGAUUUAUUGGGCGUAAAGAGCUCGUAGGUGGUUCGGCAAGUCGGAUGUGAAAUCCCUCGGCUCAACCAAGGAAGUGCAUCCGAAACUGCCGAGCUUGAGUACUUAAGAGGAUCGCGGAAUUCCCGGUGUAGAGGUGAAAUGCGUAGAUAUCUGGAGGAACACCGGUGGCGAAGGCGACAUCCUGGACCGGCAUUGACGCUGAGGCGCGAAAGCCAGGGGAGCAAACGGG